GGCAGGUGAUUUUGUUGAAGCACUCAAUGAUCCCAGCUCACCUGAGUACAUCAAACUGGAACUUAACGUUACAACUGAGCUGAAUCGUGUGUUCACAAAAUUGUACGGGGACAAAUUCCUCAGGUGUAUUGUCAAACGUUUCAGUCCUGGAUCAAUUGCAGUGGAAACUAACGUGAUUUUCACAAACCAGUCUUCAGUCCCCACCACCACAGAUGCACAGCAGCAACUUUCAGCACAACUUGAGUCUGGAUCGGUCAACCUGCCCAUUAAUUCAUCCACCAUUCAGACAGUGGAACCAACAGCAGUGACAUCAACUACAGCUGCAGCCCCUUCAACAACUG